AUCAUGAUGCACAAUGCUGAUUUAAAAACUUCAUGAGUGACACUGUACAAACAUCAAAUGUUUCAAGCAUUAAUGUGGUGUUCAAAUCUGUAUUAUGAGGUAGUCUAAUAUUAUUAUUAAUAGAGAAUCAGGGCACACUAUAAGUUGUAAAUGCUUUUAAAAGUUAUUCCAACAUGUAGCAACUGUGUGUCCACUUAAUAAAGAGUGUAAUAUUAGAUGAAUCAGACUGACAUAAUGGCAGUUUUAGGUUGUUGACUACAGCUUCUUCAUACAGUCAGUGUUUGUAGGGUAAGAUGAGCAAGAAGGUACAGUAAGUGUGGGAGGAGCUCAAUGUUUUGUCGACUCCUGCAGAAUAAAUCAAAUAGACAACACUGACUUCCCUUCAUACUGAUGAUACUGAAUCUGAACUCAAACUACAGAAACAUGUUACUCAUCACUUCUGUUUUAAUAUUUAUCCUCAGUUACUGUGAAGCGAAUGGGAAUGUCAUCAGACCAGAUCAACCAUCUGUAGUUUUAACUGAAGGAAGCAGCAUCAAUCUGUCCUGUACAUUUGAUGGAUCAGCUUACAGUCUCCACUGGUACCGGCAGAUGCCUGGAUCAAGACCAGAGUUUCUGCUGCUGAUUGUUGAAUCUACUAAAACUAAAGUUGAAGCUUCUCUGCCUCAUCCGCAUAUGUCCAUCAGUCUUCAUGAUAAUCGUGUGGAUCUGGAGAUCACCUCUGCUGCAGUAUCAGACUCUGCUCUGUAUUACUGUGCUCUGCAGCCCACAGUGACAGGAAACACAAAAACACUGUAACAAAAACCUUCUCAUCUUUUGUCUGUUGCAUACAGUGAUAUCUUUUUCUACCCCCUAUGAUCUCUCUGCAUGUGAUAUUCCAUUAUGUUGGUAAUAUGGCCUUUAAAUGUACGUAAUGAGAUUAUUGACCAAUGUCAAAUUGCAUUUAUCUUUCAUUUUACAUUUAUGUAGCAAGAACAUCCCUGAAAGAGAAAAGUUCUUUAGAACGGGCAAUAAGAAUAUAGUUAUAAUCAGUACAAAAAUGGACUGCAAAAUACCAAGACGUGCGAUCACCAUCCAGCACACAAGGAAUAUAUUCUGUUCCUUGAAAUAAGC